rnacentral:lncRNA from 1 species
AUCAUUCCAGACCCCGCUUUUUAGGGUUUGUUUUUUUUUGGCACAAAGUCUCUCUCCAUAACUCUGGGUGUCCGGAACCCACUAUAUAGUCCUGGGCUCAAAUUCAGAGAUCUGUCUGCCUCUGCCUCUCAGGUGCUGGGAUUAAAAGUAUGCACCACCACACCCAGCUAACAUCUAUAUUAAACAAAGGCAAGUAAUUACAGUUAAGAGCUGACUCUGGGCGAGCCCAAAGUCUAGGAUUGUUCCUUCCAGGGCUCCAAGUUUGGUGUUCAGACGCCUCUGGAGUGUUUAAGGGAACAAAGUACGGCUGAAUCCACUCUGGUCUCAAUCACUAACAGCAGCAGAGGACUGCAGAGCUGAACAGGACAAAGCAGCUCUGGGGAGUGCUGGGGUCAGAAAGCCAACAAGAAGCUCCUCACUGUUGACCCUCCCACCAACGCCCACCCGCCCCUCUACGAUACCCCACCUAUGGGAGUGUGGAUGCAUUAACACAUUUUAAGAACAUGGUCAUAGAUCCUGCCUGCGUCUGAGCCUGCAAUCAGCAAGCCUGGUGGCUAGGUCUCUGCUCCCUCCUUACUUGCAGCCUCCCUGGGUCUCCCUGGGAGAUCAGGCACCUCCCUUAGCCAGCCCCCUCCCAGCUUCCUACUGCCACUCGGAACAGAACUUCCGCAGCUAUCAUGUGACCUUGAAGAUGGAAGUCACAUGCCAGAGAAGACAGAAGACAGAGACCCUGAUAACUUCAAAGAGCCAGCCAAAUAAUGCCUGUUUACUCCUGAUCCUGGUAAAAGUGAAGAGAGUAAAUCCUUGCAAAUAAACAACUAGAUUUUCUCCCUAUUGCAUGCAGUUGAACCUGAUUACAGCAGACAAUGCGGUAGCCGAGUGUUUCUCUGUUCUCCUCUACACUUGCAAAGGAGCAGAAAUAAUGACUUAUGACUGAAGUAUCUGCUGGAGCCUCCCUCUGGUGGAGCUCAGCCACGCACUGUAAAAUCUGUGUGUGCUAGCUUUCUUACAGUUACUGACUUUGAAGUCUUUUUUUAGGAGGGGAGUGGGGUGAAGCUGGACUUUCAGUGACUGUUUAACCAUGGGGACAGGAUGAAGAGGGUAGC